UACGAAGGGGGCUAGCGUUGCUCGGAAUUACUGGGCGUAAAGCGCACGUAGGCGGUCUUUUAAGUCGGGGGUGAAAUCCUGGAGCUCAACUCCAGAACUGCCUUCGAUACUGGAAGACUUGAGUCCGGGAGAGGUGAGUGGAACUGCGAGUGUAGAGGUGAAAUUCGUAGAUAUUCGCAAGAACACCAGUGGCGAAGGCGGCUCACUGGCCCGGUACUGACGCUGAGGUGCGAAAGCGUGGGGAGCAAACAGGG
rnacentral:rRNA from 1 species